rnacentral:rRNA from 1 species
UACGAAGGGGGCUAGCGUUGCUCGGAAUCACUGGCGUAAAGGGCGCGUAGGCGGCCAUUCAAGUCAGGGGUGAAAGCCUGUGGCUCAACCACAGAAUUGCCUUUGAUACUGUUUGGCUAGAGACCGGAAGAGGUAAGUGGAACUGCGAGUGUAGAGGUGAAAUUCGUAGAUAUUCGGAAGAACACCAGUGGCGAAGGCGACUUACUGGACACAUAUUGACGCUGAGGUGCGAAAGCGUGGGGAGCAAACGGG